rnacentral:rRNA from 1 species
UCAAACAAAAGCCGUAUUUUGUGGAUGCCUUAGGUUCAUAUGCACAAUGGGCGCUUUACGAUGCGAAACGUUGUAUCUGAGACAUCAUUCUGAUAGGUACAAAUCCCCACAGCGGUAAACCGCAAUAUUUUGACACGAGGAGAACUGAAACAUCUAAAUAUCCUCUAGGAAAAGAAAUCAACCGAGAUUCCGUUAGUAUUGGCGAAAGAACGCGGACAAGGCAUAUGAUUAUGAAAUUGAAAAACAUGUUGGAAUACAUAGACCAAAGAAGGUAAAAGUCCUGUAUUAUGCCUUUCAUAAUCAUCAAGAGUAGAACGUUAGACUGUUUGAAAAUAGGAGAACCACCUUCUAAGCCUACAUAUGCAUAUGAGACCGAUAGUGAACAAGUACUGUGAAGGAAAGGUGAAAAGAACCCUCUUGUAUAGGGAGUGAAAAGAUCUGAAACAAAAUACAUACAAUCAAUCGAUAUAUUAAAAAAAUGUAUCGGUGUACCUUUUGCAUAAUGGGUCAGCGACUAAAUGUGUGCAGCUUGCUUAAGCAACGAUGUGGAGGCAAAGCAAAAGCGAGUAGGUUUUCCUGCGUUUGUUGCAUGCAUUUGACCCGAAACUAAGUGAUCUCGUUUUGAGCAGGUUGAAGAAAGCGUAAAGUCUUUUGGAGGACCGAACCGACGUCUGUAGCAAUAGGCGCGGAUGACUUGAUACGAGGGGUGAAAGGCCAAUCAAACUUAGAGAUAGCUGGUUCUCCGCGAAAUUUAUUGAGGUAAAGCGUCUAUUAAAUCUUUCUGGGGGUAGAGCACUUAUUGAGCUAUGGGGGUCCAAAACCUUACUGCUCUCAAGAAAACUCCGAAUACCAGUAAAGUAUAAUAGGCAGACAGACAAGCGGUGCUAAGGUCGCUUGUCGAAAGGGAAACAGCCCAGCCUGGCCGCUAAGGUCCCAAAGCAUUCUGUGAGUGGGAAAAGAUGUGAUACAACUAUGACAACUAGGAGGUUGGCUUGGAAGCAGCCAUUCUAUCAUGAAAGCGUAAUAGCUCACUAGUCGAGUUGUGUUGCGCUGAAAAUGUAUCGGGGCUGAACAGAAUCACCGAAGCGCCAGUUUUUAAGUAGCGAAGCGUUUUGUGCGCCAAUGAACAUACAUCGUAAGAUUUGUGGAAGGUCUCAAAAGUGACUAUGCUGACAUGAGUAACGAAAAAUCAUGUAAAGCCAUGAUCGACAUAAGUACAAGGGUUUCUGCUAACAGGGAAUCAGUGCAGAGUUAAAUUCGGUCCCUAAGAGUUUGUAUACACUUAUACGCUCGAUGGAGGACGUUUAUGCAAGACGGCUAUUAUACACAAAUACUGCAAAUUGGAUACGGUGUAUGUGUGUUGUAGUCCAGGAAAAAAGCAUUAAUGCAAGACCGUACCCGAAACCGACACAGGUGGACGAGUCGAGUAGACUCAGGCGUUGAGUGAACCAUAUUGAAGGAACUCGGCAAAAUAAUCCCGUAACUUAGGAAGAAGGGAUACCGAAAGGUGACACAAAAAUGGGGGUGACGACUUUUUACUAAAAAAUUAGGACUCUGCAAAAUGGUAACAUGCUGUAUAGGGUCUGACGUCUGCCCGGUGCUAGAAGUCUAAAAGGCGCAUUGCAAGAUGCAAAUGGAAAGCCUAGUAAACGGCGGUUGUAACUAUAACAAUCAUAAAGUAGCGAAAUUCAUUGCCAGCUAAUUCCUGGCCUGCAUGAAAGACGUAACGAUUGCCCCACUGUCUCCAGUAUGGACUCAGUGAAAUUGAAUUCUCCGUGCAGAUGCGGAGUACGUGCCCCAAGACGAGAAGACCCUGUGCAUCUUUACUGUACAUUUGCAUUGACAAAACGAUGAGCAUGCGUAGGAUAGGUGGGAGUACAUACAUCCUUGAAAUACCACCCUUGCCAUGGGUUUUGUCUUACACCGAAUUUGGUGCACAAUGCAUGUGAGGCAGUUUGACUGGGGCGGUCGCCUCCUAAAAGGUAACGGAGGCGUGCGAAGGUAAACUCAAUGCAAGACGGAAACUUGCUGAAGAGCGUAAUGGUAUAU